rnacentral:rRNA from 1 species
AAGCCAGAUGUGAAAGCCCGCCGCUUAACCGGGGGAGUGCAUUGGAAACUGGGAGACUUGAGUGCAGAAGAGGAGAGUGGAACUCCAUGUGUAGCGGUGAAAUGCGUAGAUAUAUGGAAGAACACCAGUGGCGAAAGCGGCUCUCUGGUCUGUAACUGACGCUGAGGUUCGAAAGCGUGGGUAGCAAAC